rnacentral:rRNA from 1 species
GUACACACCGCCCGUCGCUACUACCGAUUGGGGGGUUGGGUGAGGCCUUGAGAUUCAAGGAAAAAGGCGUAAGCCUUUUUCUUGGAGAACAAGACCAAACUCUGCUCUCUAGAGGAAGUAAAAGUCGUAACAAGGUUUCCGUAGGUGAACCUGCAGAAGGAUCA